rnacentral:rRNA from 1 species
UCCGAAUGGGGAAACCCACCUGCAUAAGCAGGUAUCUUAGCGUGAAUACAUAGCGCUAAGAGGCGAACUCGGGGAACUGAAACAUCUAAGUACCCGAAGGAAAAGAAAUCAAUUGAGAUUCCGGCAGUAGCGGCGAGCGACCCCGGAUUAGCCCUUAAGCAGACUUGGCGUUAGGUGAACAGGUUGGAAAACCUGGCAAUAAAGGGUGAUAGCCCCGUAACCGACGGCGCCAUAUUUGUGAAAACGAGUAGGACGGGACACGUGAUAUCUUGUCUGAACAUGGGGGGACCAUCCUCCAAGGCUAAAUACUCCUGACUGACCGAUAGUGAACCAGUACCGUGAGGGAAAGGCGAAAAGAACCCCUGUGAGGGGAGUGAAAUAGAACCUGAAACCGUCUACGUACAAGCAGUGGGAGCCUCCUUUGUGGGGUGACCGCGUACCUUUUGUAUAAUGGGUCAGCGACUUAAUGUUAGUAGCAAGGUUAACCGCAUAGGGGAGCCGUAGGGAAACCGAGUCUUAACUGGGCGUACAGUUGCUAGCAUUAGACCCGAAACCGAGUGAUCUAGCCAUGGGCAGGUUGAAGGU